GAUAUUUCCGCAACGAGCAAAAGUACAAAAGAGGUCCACCUGCAGCCUAUGCUGAGGUACACGAGAUACCAGAGGAGUGCGUACCAGAAAACCAGCGAUGUGGCUACUGGGGCCUGGAAAUGCCUUGUUGUAACCUUUGUCACUGUGUCAUGGAUCACUGCACAUCUGAAGAGAACUUAUUUGAAUACAACUGAGGAUCAAAAGAUGACAGAGAACAUUCUUAUGUCUUACUGCAAUGAAAUCUGGAUAUCCUUCUACAUCACAAUUAACUAUUUACACAUACAUAUUCAGUUUUUAAAACAUGCGACGAUGUUGUGAUUUAAGCAAAGCUUCCUAUCUUAUUGUUCAAACGUAAUGCCAACAUAAUCAUAAUUAUGAAAACGUAACUUCUUCUUACAGAAAUGCUAAAACACUAGAUAUUACUGGACCUUUGAUAUUUCAUUUAUUAAAUACUUUUAUAUGUGUAAACACUGUUUAAUCCAGCAUUUCAAAUAAAAGUGGCAUUAUCAGAAGA